GCCACAGAUAAAUGCUGAGUCAACACACAAGGGAGACGGGAAUCUCAGAAAACCGCCACGGCAGCACUGCUACACAAGGAACAUGGCUUGUAAGCUGCAGAAGAGGAAACUGAGGCACUGAGGGUGUGCAGAAAAGCCUCCGAACGCCUGGUCUGGCUGUGGAAGUAGAGAGAUUGGAGGAAGCUACAUCAAGAUUGACAGGCUGCUGUCACGGAGCCCACCCGGAGCAGGAGGGAAAGAAGGAACUUGGAACCUGCUCCAGGCCUCCAAGGCCCUCUGGGAAAAGGAAAAUUGUUGUUGGCAAGUCAGCCUGGCUCCAGAAAUUGAUCCAGUGCCCCCCACUUGUCCGUGCAGCAGCAGACAGAGCUAAGAAUUUCGUUAGAAUUAAAUAACAGGGUGCUGAUUGGUUGCUGGAGGUGGUCUAGAAACUGGUGUUUAAAGACAGAGAACAAGGGUUACUAUUCAUAGGAAAAUCCCAGCGUCUUAAAAAUCCAUCUGUUUCAUUCCCAAAUUUAGGCCAAAAAAAUGCUCACUUGCUGUCUUUAAAAAUACCACCUGCUUGGCGAUGUUGUAUAAUGUACCAUUAUGUAAGGGGGAAGGGAGACAUAGGCUGCACGGGAGGAUGCUGUAUGGUUGGGCAAGGGCCCCUCCCUCCAAACACAGACACAGCCUUGCCCAGGCCAAACUCACCAAAGGCUGAGCCAUAGGCAUGGAAAGUCCUGCCAGUAGUACUACGUCGGUGAGCCGCAGCUGUUACAGGGGCCUGAGCCUGGUAUCUAUAGAGGCCCCCCUUGCCCUCACCUGUCCUUCCCUGGUCUCAUCUCUCUGCUCCCACUAUUGCAAUCUGCGUUGGCCUCAGCUAGGCUGCCAGGUGAGGAGGCUGAGGCUCCUGGAACCAAAGGGGAAGAGCUCUGGGCUCUGCUCGCCUGACGGCUACACAUCCCACCGUUACUAGAGAUAGUAGUGAUGGAACACAGGAACCAUAGGGGACAUCUCCAUUUCUCCUGAAUGAACCUAUGUCCUAGGUUGGCCUCACUGUGACGGUAUUUCUCAGCGCUCAGGAAAACGCUGGGAUCGAUCUGUUUCACUGUAAGAUUGUUAGUCACAGGUGAGUGGAGACAAUUGAUUCUAAACCAAAUGCGGCAGUGGGUGGGAGAGAAGGAAGGUAGGUACCAGGGAGAGGGGCUCAGGUGCUCAAAGUAUACUAGACAGUCCAAGAAUGUGGCUUUCUGUAAUCCUACCAAAGAUUGAUAACAAUAACAACAAAGAUGAUAACUGUCCCCAGAGACCGAAGCCUAAUAAUCUCAGCAAAACCACCGUAAGCUUUUUAGUGGGACGAAGCAUGGAUGACCGAAGAGAAAGAAGACUGGGCACUGGAUGAAAACUGCCCCUCAGUUUCCUACUAACUACAAUCUACUCACCUACUCUAUGGUAGAUGGACAGUCCACUUGUAUCAGUUUGGGCCAUUUAUGAAUGACGCUGCUAUGGCCAUGGAUUAACGUAUUCCAUAUGCCUUUUGGACAGUCCUUUAUUUGUGAAUUGCUGAGUCUCAAGUUUGAGGUUUUGUUUUCUUUUGAGUUAAUUUACCACAUAAGUUCUGUGUGGUGUCACGCUGCAGACACCUGCUGCCUUGCAGCUUGUCUUUUGUCUCUCCAAGUGACUCUGCGAUAAAUGCUCUUAGCAAACUGAGAGAGGAAUUUUCUUAACUUGAUAACACAUAUCUACAAAAACAUACAGCAGCCACCUUAUGUGUGGUGAACUAGGGCUUGUGCUUCUGUGAGUUUAGAAGAAAGAUAAGGAAGCUAGCAUUCUCAAGUCUGUUAUUCAACUUGCCAGAACAGACUUGAAUCUCUAAGCCUCAGUUUACGUGUGCGUAAAAUAGGAUCAGGAACUACAGUUACCUCAGGUAACUGCUGGAAAGAUUAAAUAAGACGAGAAAGGUGAUUGAUUCGAUGCUUAAGUGAUAGCGUUCGUUUGUAGUUAUCCCUGCUUUAUAGAAUUAUACCCCCAUGACCUGUGACAUUUGACCUUUCUGUUCUGUCAUCCAUGGGCAGGAUACAUUUUGUGCCCUCAUAGUGUAUGAGUAGCCUUAGGUUUUGACAAAGGACUGUGGUCAGAAUUAAGGAUGUUACCACUUCAAACAGUCUUAAGAUGAGUCAUUUCUGCUGUAACUUUAGGGAAACGGGUUGACUAUCUACAGCCUCAGAUAAAGGGAUGCAUUGAGCGCAAGUCCAGCUCAUCCCAGAGCCAAGUUCAGCCAUCAGAGCCACACCCCACACAGAUUAAAGCAAGAAAAAGAAAUGCUUGUUCUAGUAGACUUCUGGUUUUGGGGCUAGUGUGUUAUGUAGCAUUGUUGAAGAACUAGCUGGCAAAUACACUGGGCACAUAAGUGGAGCUUGAUCUAUAGGCCCUAUUUUACUUAAGUCUGUUUCUUCACCGGUGUAUGCUGCAUACUACUUUAAUACAGAACUGCUGAAAGGUGGGGGGGCUAACACACACACAAACUUUAUAUAUCUGAAGACAUAUGUCAGUGUCGAUGAAUAUUCAUUCAUAAACAAAUCAACAAGCAUUUUCCUCUACAAAAAUCUUCUAUGGUCAGUCACAGUUGGGAAAUAUAGGCAAGGUGAAAGAGGAGUCUAAAGCAGAGAGAGAGAGAGAGACAGAGACAGAGACAGAGAGGCAUGAGGGUCCAUGUCCACCCAUGUAGAGGUUAGAGCAGAAUGUCAGCUAUCUUUCCUUUAAAGAACUCCCCCAACUACCCCCUUGAGACAGGAUCUCCUACUGAACCUGAGACAGGAUCUCCUAGUGAAUCUAUAACCCACCAUCUGAGCUAAGGUGGCUGACCAUAGAGCUCCUGAGACUCACUAAACUCCACAGUGCUGGGGUUACAGAUGGGGGCCCAGAUUUUAAUGUGGGUCCUUGGGAUUCAAACUCAGGUGUUCUUGUGUACAGAGUGAGGGUUCUUACCCACUAAAGCCAUCUCCCUAUCCUAGACAUAAUUAAUUAGUGAACACUCUGAAGUUGCAAGAGGAAACAGAGUAUGAAAUGUUCCAAUAGUUUGGCCAAGUAGAAUCCAUAGGAUCAGAACCCCAACCAACCCAUCUGGGAGAAUACUAGUAUAAUAAGUUAAUAAUCUUUCCAUCACCAGAAAGUGAAAAGAUCUCCCAUGCUUUU